UACGUAGGGGGCAAGCGUUGUUCGGAAUUACUGGGCGUAAAGCGCACGUAGGCGGACUAUUAAGUCAGGGGUGAAAUCCCGGGGCUCAACCCCGGAACUGCCUUUGAUACUGGUAGUCUCGAGUCCGGAAGAGGUGAGUGGAAUUCCGAGUGUAGAGGUGAAAUUCGUAGAUAUUCGCAAGAACACCAGUGGCGAAGGCGGCUCACUGGCCCGGUACUGACACUGAGGUGCGAAAGCGUGGGGAGCAAACAGG
rnacentral:rRNA from 1 species